rnacentral:rRNA from 1 species
UACGUAGGGGGCAAGCGUUGUCCGGAUUUAUUGGGCGUAAAGAGCGUGUAGGCGGCCAGACAGGUCCGUUGUGAAAACUCGAGGCUCAACCUCGAGACGCCGAUGGAAACCGUCUGGCUAGAGUCCGGAAGAGGAGAGUGGAAUUCCUGGUGUAGCGGUGAAAUGCGCAGAUAUCAGGAAGAACACCCGUGGCUAAGGCGGGUCUCUGGGCAGUAACUGACGCUGAGGAGCGAAAGCGUGGGGAGCGAACAGG